rnacentral:pre_miRNA from 1 species
UCUCGUUUGUGUGUGGGUAUAUUGUUCAGCACCAGGGACAGGCAUGUUAGGCUGUACUGUGUGUGGACGGCGUUCAGCACCAGGGACAGAUGUGUUUACCU